rnacentral:sRNA from 1 species
AAGAGCCAGCAGGGGGAAGAGCUCUUCUAUGCCCCAGUAGGGCUUUAUCAGGGAAACCAUGUGGCCAUCUGCUACGUUGGUGACCAAGCAGAAGCCUGGGUUAGGAAGCCGACUGUGCUACAGGAAAUACAGCUGGGCAUGCUGUUCCUCCACAGGAGCCCCCUGGGCUCCCACGGCAACCUGAAACCUUCCAACUGCCUGGUGGAUGGUCGGCUGCAGGUGAAGCUGUCGCGAUUCAGGCUGUGGGAACUCAAGCAUGGCUGAAAAUACAGAACAUAUGAUGAGACAGUGACGGACCACUCAGAGCUCUACUGGACUGCCCCAGAGCUGCUGUGGCUCCCGGAGGUGCCCUGGUCGGGUACCCCGCAAGGAGAUGUUUACAGCUUCGCCAUUCUGAUGAGGGAGUUGAUCUACCAUUGGGACCACGGGCCCUUUGAUGACCUCCAUGAGGCACCGGAUGAAAUCAUCAACCGAAUGAAAGACCCUGCAGCAGCUGUCCCACUGCAACCUUCCCUGCCCGAGAAGAAGGGCGAUGAAGGGCGAUGAAAAGUUCGUGGCCAUGGUGAGGGCAUGUUGGGAUGAAUCUCUGGAGAAAAGACCCAGUUUCUCUUCCAUCAAGAAAACUUUACGAGAGGCCAGUCCCAGAGGCCGUGUGAGCAUACUGGCCAGUAUGAUGAGCAAGCUGGAAGUCUAUGCCAAUCACCUGGAGGAAGUGGUGCAAGAGAGGACCAGCCAGCUGACUGCAGAGAAGAGGAAGGUGGAGAAGCUUCUGUCCACCAUAGUGCCCAGCUUCAUUGGAGAACAACUCCUAGCCGGAAGGUCCGUGGAACCAGAACAUUUCGAGUCUGUGACAAUCUUUUUAUCUGACAUUGUUGGAUUCACAAAGCUGUGUUCUCUCAGCUCCCCUUUGCAAGUCGUCAAGCUCCUCAAUGACCUGUACAGUUUAUCUGAUCACAUCAUCACAACUUAUGAUGUUUAUAAGGUUGAGACCAUUGGAGACGCAUACAUGGUGACUAGUGGACUCCCUAUCCGCAAUGGAAGCCAGCAUGUGGCUGAGAUUGCCACCAUAUCCCUGCACUUCCUCAGUGCCACCAUCUGCUUCCAAAUUGGGCACAUGCACCAGGAGAAGCUCCAGCUUUGGAUUGGCCUCCACACAGGUCCUGUGGUGGCUGGUGUGCUGGGGAUCACCAUGUCCAGAUACUGUCUGUUUGGAGACACUGUGAACAUGGCAUCCAGAAUGGAGAGCAGCAGUUCACCUCUCCGGAUUCAUGUCUGUCAGAGAGCACUGCAAGUGCCCUGGUGGCAUUGGGAGGGUACGAUUUGCAAAAGAGAGGCACCAUUCCAGUCAAGGGCAAAGGAGAGCAAACAACUUUCUGGUUGAACGAUAAAGAAGGCUUUACUCUUCCACUCCCCG